rnacentral:rRNA from 1 species
AUUGAACGCUGGCGGCGUGCUUAACACAUGCAAGUCGAACGAAGUGGCGAACGGGUGAGUAACGCGUAAUCAACCUGCCCUUCAGAGGGGGACAACAGUUGGAAACGACUGCUAAUACCGCAUACUGAAGGCGGGGAUUGCGUCUGAUUAGCUCGUUGGAGGGGUAACGGCCCACCAAGGCGAUGAUCAGUAGCCGGUCUGAGAUGAUGAACGGCCAACAUUGGACUGAGCAACGGCCCAGAACUCUACGGGAGGCAACAGGGGGGAAUCUUCCGCAAUGGGAGAAAGUCUGACGGAGCAACGCCGCGUGAGUGAUGACGGCCUUCGGGGUGGAAAGCUCUGUUAAUCGGGACGCGGUACCGGAAUAGAAAGCCACGGCUAACUACGUGCCAGCAGCCGCGGUAAUAC